rnacentral:rRNA from 1 species
GACGAACGCUGGCGGCGUGCUUAACACAUGCAAGUCGAACGGAAAGGCCCUGCUUUUGUGGUGUUCUCGAGUGGCGAACGGGUGAGUAACACGUGAGUAACCUGCCCUUGACUUUGGGAUAACUUCAGGAAACUGGGGCUAAUACCGGAUAGGAGCUCCUGCUGCAUGGUGGGCGUUGGAAAGUUUCGGCGGUUGUGGAUGGACUCGCGGCUUAUCAGCUUGUUGGUUGGGUAGUGGCAUACCCAGGCUUUGACGGGUAGCCGGCCUGGGAGGGUGGCCGGCGACAUUGGGACUGAGAGACGGAGCAGACGCCUACGGGAGGCAGCAGUGGGGAGUAUGGCACAGUGGGCGGGAGUGUGAUGCGAAAACGCCGGGUGCGGGAUGACGGCCUUCGGGUUGUGAACCGCUGUAGCCUGUGACGAAGCGGGAGUGACGGUAACGAGUGAAGAAGCACCGGCUAACUACGUG